rnacentral:rRNA from 1 species
GGUUAAGCGACUAAGCGUACACGGUGGAUGCCUAGGCAAUCAGAGGCGAUGAAGGACGUGCUAAUCUGCGAAAAGCGUCGGUAAGGUGAUAUGAACCGUUAUAACCGACGAUGUCCGAAUGGGGAAACCCAGUGCAAUUCGUUGCACUAUCGUUUGAUGAAUCCAUAGUCAAACGAGGCGAACCGGGGGGAACUGAAACAUCUCAGUACCCCGAGGAAAAGAAAUCAACCGAGAUUCCCCUAGUAGCGGCGAGCGAACGGGGAGCAGCCCAGAGUCUUAAUCAGCAUCAGCAUCAGGAGAACGGUCUGGAAAGGCCGGCAAUAAAGGGUGAUAGCCCCGUAUCCGAAGGUGUUGGUGUUGUGAACUCGACGAGUAGGGCGGGACACGUGUUAUCCUGUCUGAAUAUGGGGGGGACCAUCCUCCAAGGCUAAAUACUCCUGAUUGACCGAUAGUGAACCAGUACCGUGAGGGAAAGGCGAAAAGAACCCCGGCGAGGGGGAGUGAAAUAGAACCUGAAACCGUGUACGUACAAGCAGUGGGAGCCUUGAUUUAUCAGGGUGACUGCGUACCUUUUGUAUAAUGGGUCAGCGACUUAUAUUCUGUAGCAAGGUUAACCGAAUAGGGGAGCCGUAGGGAAACCGAGUCUUAACUGGGCGAAUGAGUUGCAGGGUAUAGACCCGAAACCCGGUGAUCUAGCCAUGGGCAGGUUGAAGGUUGGGUAACACUAACUGGAGGACCGAACCGACUAAUGUUGAAAAAUUAGCGGAUGACUUGUGGCUGGGGGUGAAAGGCCAAUCAAACCGGGAGAUAGCUGGUUCUCCCCGAAAGCUAUUUAGGUAGCGCCUCGUGAACUCAUCUUCGGGGGUAGAGCACUGUUUCGGCUAGGGGGUCAUCCCGACUUACCAACCCGAUGCAAACUACGAAUACCGAAGAAUGUUAUCACGGGAGACACACGGCGGGUGCUAACGUUCGUCGUGAAGAGGGAAACAACCCAGACCGCCAGCUAAGGUCCCAAAGUCAUGGUUAAGUGGGAAACGAAGUGGGAAGGCUCAGACAGCCAGGAUGUUGGCUUAGAAGCAGCCAUCAUUUAAAGAAAGCGUAAUAGCUCACUGGUCGAGUCGGCCUGCGCGGAAGAUGUAACGGGGCUAAACCAUGCACCGAAGCUGCGGCAGCGACAUGUAAAUGUUGUUGGGUAGGGGAGCGUUCUGUAAGCCUGUGAAGGUGUGCUGCGAGGCAUGCUGGAGGUAUCAGAAGUGCGAAUGCUGACAUAAGUAACGAUAAUGCGGGUGAAAAACCCGCACGCCGGAAGACCAAGGGUUCCUGUCCAACGUUAAUCGGGGCAGGGUGAGUCGACCCCUAAGGCGAGGCAGAAAUGCGUAGUCGAUGGGAAACAGGUUAAUAUUCCUGUACUGGUGAUAAUUGCGAUGGGGGGGACGGAGAAGGCUAGGCUGGCCGGGCGACGGUUGUCCCGGUUUAAGGAUGUAGGUGGGUGAAUUAGGCAAAUCCGGUUCGCUAUACACUGAGGUCUGAUGACGAGUCACUACGGUGGCGAAGUAGCUCAUGCCCCGCUUCCAGGAAAAGCCUCUAAGCUCUAGAUUAUCAUUAAUCGUACCCCAAACCGACACAGGUGGUCAGGUAGAGAAUACUCAGGCGCUUGAGAGAACUCGGGUGAAGGAACUAGGCAAAAUGGUGCCGUAACUUCGGGAGAAGGCACGCUGGCACUAGGUGAAGUGGUUUACCCAUGGAGCUGAAGCCAGUCGCAGAUACCAGCUGGCUGCAACUGUUUAUUAAAAACACAGCACUGUGCAAACACGAAAGUGGACGUAUACGGUGUGACGCCUGCCCGGUGCUGGAAGGUUAAUUGAUGGGGUUAUCCGUAAGGAGAAGCUCUUGAUCGAAGCCCCAGUAAACGGCGGCCGUAACUAUAACGGUCCUAAGGUAGCGAAAUUCCUUGUCGGGUAAGUUCCGACCUGCACGAAUGGCGUAAUGAUGGCCAGGCUGUCUCCACCCGAGACUCAGUGAAAUUGAACUCGCUGUGAAGAUGCAGUGUACCCGCGGCAAGACGGAAAGACCCCGUGAACCUUUACUAUAGCUUGACACUGAACAUUGAGCCUUGAUGUGUAGGAUAGGUGGGAGGCUUUGAAGUGUGGACGCCAGUCUGCAUGGAGCCAACCUUGAAAUACCACCCUUUAAUGUUUGAUGUUCUAACGUUGCCCCGUGAACCGGGGUGCGGACAGUGUCUGGUGGGUAGUUUGACUGGGGCGGUCUCCUCCCAAAGCGUAACGGAGGAGCACGAAGGUUGGCUAAGCAUGGUCGGACAUCAUGCGGUUAGUGCAAAGGCAUAAGCCAGCUUGACUGCGAGAGUGACGGCUCGAGCAGGUACGAAAGUAGGUCUUAGUGAUCCGGUGGUUCUGAAUGGAAGGGCCAUCGCUCAACGGAUAAAAGGUACUCCGGGGAUAACAGGCUGAUACCGCCCAAGAGUUCAUAUCGACGGCGGUGUUUGGCACCUCGAUGUCGGCUCAUCACAUCCUGGGGCUGAAGUAGGUCCCAAGGGUAUGGCUGUUCGCCAUUUAAAGUGGUACGCGAGCUGGGUUUAGAACGUCGUGAGACAGUUCGGUCCCUAUCUGCCGUGGGCGUUGGAAGAUUGAAAGGGGCUGCUCCUAGUACGAGAGGACCGGAGUGGACGCACCGCUGGUGUUCGGGUUGUCAUGCCAAUGGCACUGCCCGGUAGCUAAGUGCGGAAGAGAUAACCGCUGAAAGCAUCUAAGCGGGAAACUUGCCUUGAGAUGAGUCUUCCCUGACUCUUUAAGGGUCCUAAAGGAACGUUUAAGACGAAGACGUUGAUAGGCUGGGUGUGUAAGCGUAGCGAUACGUUGAGCUAACCAGUACUAAUGAACCGUGAGGCUUAACCUG